rnacentral:tRNA from 1 species
GCCCCGUUCGUCUAGAGGCCAAGGAUAUCACCCUUUCACGGUGGAGACCCGGGUUCGAAUCCCGGUCGGGGCG